GAGCACGUAGGUGGGUUUGUAAGUCAGAUGUGAAAGCCUUCUGUUCAACGGAAGAAUUGCAUCUGAAACUGCGAGCCUUGAGUGUAGGAGGGGAGAAUGGAGCUUCUGGUGGAGCGGUGAAAUGCGUAGAUAUCAGAAGAAGCGCCGGCGGCGAAAGCGAUUCUCUGGCCUAUUACUGACACUCAGUGUGCGAAAGCUAGGGGAGCAAACGGGAUUAGAUACCCCGGUAGUCCUAGCCGUAAACGAUGGGCACUAAGUAGAGGGGUUUU
rnacentral:rRNA from 1 species